AGGCCAGUAGCAUAGCUGGUUAAUGCGACGGACUCCAAAUCCGUAGAUCGUGGGUUCGAAUCCUACCUGGCCUGCCA
rnacentral:tRNA from 1 species